UGCAGGUAGCCAGUUAUACUACAAGAUAUCCGUGGACUUUAUAAUUACGAAAUUAUUGUAUGAAAGGAUAAAUUUCACCAUGUUUAAUUUAUUAUGUCAUAGAGUGUUGGCAAAAAAAAAAAUUAGGUUUUGUGUUAGACAGUCUAUUUUUAAAGACAGAAUUAGAGACAGGAUGUUUUCUAAUCAGUUAAUUACUCAAGAACUGUUCAGCAGAGGUCAAAGCUCACAAGAGCAGAGUAACCAAAAUGACUUUUCCCAACUUCAGCAUGCACAGUUUACACAGUUUGAUAUGACACAACCCCAGUCACAAGAUUUCUUUUCUCAGGACCAGUGUUCAGCAGGAUCUAAUUCGCAGUCUCAAGGAAUGAGAGCUCCUGUGUUAGACAAGUACAUGCCCAAGACAUCUUUGUUCAAAAGCAAUAGUCAGAGUAGGAUCUCCACAUUAAGUAGACCAAGUCUAGGAGAGAACCAAGUUUUGAGAAAAAAAAACAACAGACCCAAUAUUCAGACAUGUAACUUCCAGCAACAGCUUUCAAUACAGAAAAUGAAACCUGAAGAGAGGGAUGAAAGGGAUUUGCUGAGCAGUAUUGUCAGUAUGGUCCAGGAAUGUACUGAAAAGAGAGAUGAAAAGAUUUAUGAGUUGCUGCAGCUGAAAAAGUGUAAUGAAGGAGAAUCAUCAAGUUUGCUGAAUUCUUUGAAAACAUUCAUCUUAGAGCAGCAGUCCCAAAGUGAACAGAAAAUACAGAAAGUUCUGGAGAGUGUGCAGGAGCAGCUAAAACUGACUAAUGAACUAGGCAAUAACCAUAGACAUGGUUUUGAAGAGAACAAUAAACAUUUCAUUGAUGUCAAAUACACUACAGCUAGACAAAUUCAGGAUGUUGAGAAAAGACUUCUUGAUGAGCUUGUCACUAUAAGGGAUGACUUUGAUCGCCAAAGGCGAGACCUAGAAACUUUCUUUAGAAACCAGAUUCUAUCUGCUCAGCAGAAACAACUUCACACAAUUGAGCAACAUGUUCAAAAAAGUUUUGCAGAUAUGACAGAGGGUCUUAGUCAAAUAUUGUACAAGGCAGAUGAGAUGCAUGGAAAGCAUUCUGAAUUGAAGGCACUUGGUAAAUCUCAGCAAAGAGAGCUGGAAAAAUAUAUAAAAUGUCAGUCAACAGAGCAGGCUAAACAAAUAAUGAAGCAGAGUCAGGAUCUCUAUAGUAAACAACAAAAAAUAAUCCAUGAAGAAAUUAACCAGACAUUAGAAACUUUCACAAAGGAGCAGAAACAAGUUUUAGAUGAAAACAAGAACUGUCUAAAUGAGUUGAAGAAGUGUGUUUCUGAUAAAGAUACAAGACCGUGGCAGAAUGAAAAUGUCCCAAAAAUGAUUCAAGAUAAAUUAGAUGAACUGCACAAUUACCAUCAGUCGGAAAUAAAAAGACUUGAAACUGAAAUUGAAAACCAACAAAAGAAAAAUGACAUGCCACAGAAAGAAGCAAACUCAAGAAGCAAUGAAGAGGAUGCAGUAAAUAACAUUUUACAAAAUAUUUGUGAUCUGCAGGAAAAUGGAAAUGACAUAAAAGAAAGCAGUACAUAUCGAAGAAGAGACCGUGGGACAAUGUUCAAGAAUGGUCCGGGGUUAUUGUCACCUCGACCUCUACAAGGAACUUCUUGGAAUAGUAGAACAUUAUUUGGUAGGACCAAUCCAUCUCCCAUAGCUACUGUGCUGCCACAGAGAAAACAGGCACAGGACACCACGAUGACUGCAAAAGAUGCUGUUCAAACCAUCAAGGCAUAUGAACAUUCGGAUGAUGGACAUGCCCAGACUAGAUUGCUUGAGAAUAGAUACCGUAAAAAUGAGAACAUACAACCUGCUACAACAGGCAGACAGAAGUCAGUAAGAAUUUCACAUGAUACCUUUGUAGAUUCAUGUUUCAGCAGUGAAACUGCAGAUCAAAUCAGUAAUACAGCUGUGCAUUCUAUUAAUUUAAAGAAACAACAUAAGAAGAAACGCGGUAGGAAGAAAGGUGGAAAGAGAAAAAGGUCAGGGAAUAAUAUUUUUCCCAAACCUGGAAAUAAACCGAUAAAUGAAAAUAAACAGUCAAGUCAAAGAAAUACAGAUAGUUGCCAAAUUGUCAAAAUGGGUUGUAAUAAGAACAGUAUUGAUUAUGAAAGGAAACAAACAGACAGUAGCACAACAUCAUCUGAAGGAAAAGAAAUUUUAGAUACUUUUCAAACAAGCACUGUAUGCAGUGAGGUUGUUAGUCCAAAGAAUAUCUUUGAUUUUCAUGAUGAACUUUCUCCAGGACCAGUCCUGAGGAAACAAAAACAGAACUCUGUAUUAAUUGGCGAGACACUCCAAAUCAGUCAGGUAACAGCAGUACAGACUCCUCACCAUCGCUUUCUGUUACAGAUAUAUUUAUCCAAAGGAAAGUUCAAGAUAUUCAGCAAGUAUCUGCAGUGUCGUCUGAUACUGAGUGCACUCCAAAUCUGAAAGAGCUGUCUACAGAUAUAGAUGAGCAAUAUGUCGGCACAAAUUUUAAAAAAGAGUUUCAAGAUGUUUGUGGACUACGUCGCAUUGCCAAAAAGAGAAAAUUGUGUGACUGAG
rnacentral:misc_RNA from 1 species